UACAGAGGGUGCAAGCGUUAAUCGGAAUUACUGGGCGUAAAGCGUGCGCAGGCGGUUUCGUAAGUCUGGCGUGAAAUCCCCGGGCUCAACCUGGGAAUUGCGAUGGAGACUGCGAGGCUAGAGUUUGGCAGAGGGGGGUAGAAUUCCACGUGUAGCAGUGAAAUGCGUAGAGAUGUGGAGGAACACCGAUGGCGAAGGCAGCCCCCUGGGUCAAAACUGACGCUCAUGCACGAAAGCGUGGGGAACAAACAGG
rnacentral:rRNA from 1 species